CAAGAAGAACAGAGACAGAAUCAUGGAUAUGGAGAACAUUUUGAUGGUUGCCAGAUGAGAGGCGGGUAGGGGAGAAUGGGUGAAGAGGUGAGGGGAUUAAGAAGUACAAAUAGGUAGUUACAGAAUAGCC